rnacentral:lncRNA from 1 species
CUUGUUGAAUAACCUGCAAACCAACAUAGAAUUCUUUUCACAGUUUGUCAAAUUAAUAUCCCACUUAAGAGAUAAUACAAAAUCAAAUUCUAGCUAAAUCAUAACAUUUGUAGAGCAUCAUUAUGGAAUCAAAUGCACUUAAAGAUAUUAACCAACAGAAUACUCAGGUUGCAUUUAAUGGCAGACAAUUGAGGCACCAAAAUUGGAUUUUUAAAGAAUCAAUUCAAAAUUGAAUGGAAAUAUUUCUAAAUAGAAUAAAAAAGGUCUCAUUUAUAUAUGGUUAAACAUAGCUUAAAGAAAGAAUUCUUACCUGCAUAGAGAAG